GCAAGUAACAAACCAACCUUAUUGUAUCGAAGAGUAGUACAGCUCCUUUAUGUCCAUUCAAAGUAGUCUCGCACAGUCCCUUAUCAGAGUCCCAAAUCCUUAUGCUACAUCAGUACUUCUCUUCUGCAGUCUACCUGAGGUGUAAUGUAGGUACUCGGCUUCUUCACCACACGUUUCCACUCAUCAGAUGUCUGGUUCACAUACAUUUGUUGUUCAAAAUGAUAUUGUACACGCGAAGGUAAGAAAUGGAUUUCACUUUCUAUAGAUUGACUGUUGUUUGUUUUAACUAUUCAAAAGGCGUAAUGUUUGAACUAUUUUGCAGCCUCAGACCAUAUCCAUUGGAUAAGUUGCGGACAUAGCAAUUAUUCCAGCACAUGCUCCAGCUGCUUAGUAUAUCCAUCGAAAUUUAUGAGAAAGAUUAAUGCUUAAGAAAUCACAAGCUUGAAGCAGCUGUGAUGCAAAGUCGUUCUUCUCUUGAUCACCAACUGAAGU
rnacentral:lncRNA from 1 species